rnacentral:rRNA from 1 species
AUACGGAGGAUCCAAGCGUUAUCCGGAAUCAUUGGGUUUAAAGGGUCCGUAGGCGGGUUUGUAAGUCAGUGGUGAAAGUUUUCGGCUCAACCGGAAAAUUGCCAUUGAUACUGCAAGUCUUGAAUCAUUAUGAAGUGGUUAGAAUGUGUAGUGUAGCGGUGAAAUGCAUAGAUAUUACACAGAAUACCGAUUGCGAAGGCAGAUCACUAAUAAUGUAUUGACGCCAAGGGACGAAAGCGUGGGUAGCGAACAGGAGUAGAAACCCCGGUAGUCC